CGGCCGCCGGGCGCACCCGUCCCGUUCGUCCCCGGUCGUUGCUCUCCACCCCGGGAACGUCGAGACCGGAGCGCCCGAACGG
ensembl:miRNA